rnacentral:rRNA from 1 species
AAUGGGGGCAACCCUGAUCCAGCAAUGCCGCGUGUGUGAUGAAGGCCUUAGGGUUGUAAAGCACUUUCACUGGUGAAGAUUAUGACGGUAACCAGAGAAGAAGCCCCGGCUAACUUCGUGCCAGCAGCCGCGGUAAUACGAAGGGGGCGAGCGUUGUUCGGAAUUACUGGGCGUAAAGGGAGCGCAGGCGGUUCAUUUAGUCAGACGUGAAAGCCCCGGGCUCAACCCGGGAGGUGCGUUUGAUACUGGUGAGCUAGAAAUCAGAAGAGGAUAGUGGAAUUCCCAGUGUAGAGGUGAAAUUCGUAGAUAUUGGGAAGAACACCAGUGGCGAAAGCGGCUAUCUGGUCUGUAUUUGACGCUGAGGCUCGAAAGCGUGGGGAGCAAACAGGAUU